CCUACGGGUGGCAGCAGUGAGGAAUAUUGGUCAAUGGUCGGGAGACUGACCCAGCCAAGCCGCGUGAGGGAUGAAGGUACAGAGUAUCGUAAACCUCUUUUGUCAGGGAACAAAGGCGGGGACGCGUCCCCGGAUGAGUGUACCUGAAGAAAAAGCAUCGGCUAAAUCCGUGCCAGCACCCGCGGUAAUACGGAGGAUGCGGGCGUUAUCCGGAGUUGUUGGGUUUAACGGGUGCGCAGGCGGUCUGUUAAGUCAGCGGUCAAAGCCCGGGGCUCAACCCCGGCCCGCAGUUGAAACUGGCAGUCUCGAGUUGGAGAGAGGUGUGCGGAAUGCGCGGUGUAGCGGUGAAAUGCAUAGAUAUCGAGCAGAACUCCGAUUGCGAAGGCAGCAUGCCGGCUCCACACUGACGCUGAGGCACGAAAGCGUGGGUAUCGAACAGGAUUAGAUACCCCAGUAGUC
rnacentral:rRNA from 1 species